CCUACGGGAGGCAGCAGUCGAGAAUCAUUCACAAUGGGGGCAACCCUGAUGGUGCAACGCCGCGUGGAGGAAGACGGCCUUUGGGUUGUAAACUCCUGUCAUGUAGGAGUAAGUCAUGUUAGUUAAUAGCUGAGCAUGAUUGAUAGUACUACAAGAGGAAGGGACGGCAAACUUCGUGCCAGCAGCCGCGGUAAUACGAAGGUCCCAAGCGUUAUUCGGAAUCACUGGGCGUAAAGGGAGCGUAGCUGGUUGGGAAAGUCAGAUGUGAAAGGCAGGGGCUCACCCCCUGGACUGCAUUUGAAACUCCCCGACUAGAGAGACGGAGAGGUAGAUGGAAUUCUCGGUGUAGCAGUGAAAUGCGUAGAUAUCGAGAGGAAGACCAAUGGCGAAGGCAAUCUACUGGACGUUAUCUGACGGUGAGGCUCGAAGGCUAGGGGAGCGAAAGGGAUUAGAUACCCCUGUAGUCCUAGCAGUAAGCGGUGUGCGCUUGGUGUGGGAGGAAUCGACCCCUUCUGUGCCGGAGCUAACGCGUUAAGCGCACCGCCUGGGAAGUACGGCCGCAAGGCUAAAACUCAAAGGAAUUGACGG
rnacentral:rRNA from 1 species